rnacentral:lncRNA from 1 species
CAAGAGAAAGGGAAUAGUUAGAGAUAAUGUCUGCUGGUGUGGGUGAGUUUCUCAUUUCAAGUGUGUCAGGCUGUGGCUUCUGCAGGGGAGGAGGACAAAACCUCACAAUGGCCUGAAAUGGUGCUGGUUUGUGCCUGCUGGAAAGGAAAAACACCAGCUAAACCUCAGCACACAUUGGGAUUGCCUUGCUUUAUGGUGGAAAACAAGAAACUUUUAAAGGCACUGGCUUUGGUUUUGCUUUUCAUUUUGUCAUUGGAAGUCUGAAAUCCACUGUCAGAACUGCAACUUUAGAAC